GUUAAAAAUCCCAUUCAGGUAAUUAAUGUUAGAGACUAUUCAGCUAUUGAUCAAUUAGACACUGAGACUGGUUUUGAUGGUAGGGACAAUUUGUGGCUGUCUUAUAUGAGGUAUACAGCUAAGACCCUGAAAAGAAAGGACUGCAUGAGUUACAUGAAACAUUGGUCAUGCUAGACCUGUUCUGGCUACACACCCAUUUGCUAUAGGAGAAGGAGAGGGGUGGUUGUGUAUUCUGAGAGGUUUUUACCAGGUUUAGCCCAAUUCAACUCUCUGUUCCUCUUUGAGCCUUGUGUCUCCUACAGUACCUCCUCAUCGGGCCCCUUGGGGUGUUGAGGCAUAUGGGGGCAAUUACAGUUGCAUCACGGGUACAGGUAAUGGCAUUGAUUAUGAGAGAUUGCCUGAAGCUGAUUGCAGUAGUAACAUAGCCAUUAAUUCCACUUGGCCAGUUACAGGCCUAAACCAAACUAGUGGUCUGGCUGAUGUGUGGUGGAUCUGUGGACCCAAAAGAGUGCUGAGACCCAUUCUUAGAGGAGACUGGCAAGGUACGUGUGCUCUGACCAGUUUGAUAAUUCCACUGACCAUUGUUGAUGUUACUGCUGAACAGCUGUUGGGUUCUGUAUCCAGGGGACCUGAAAACAUUCCAUUCCAUGGGAGACAUAGACGUAGUGCUCCAUGGACAGAGGAUGUAGUUGACAUACACACUAACCUGUUGGGAGUGCCAGUGGGGGUUCCUCAUGAGUUUCAGGUCUUGGGUAGGAAUGAUGGAUUAUAGGUCCAGCCAUAGUGGAUGCAAGGCAGACUGCAUGGAUUCAUUACAUCUACUAUGAUCAACAGCGUUUUGUUAAUUACCCCCGUGAUGCACUCACUGGUAUGUCUGAACAGUUUGAGGCCACAUCUAGGGUUGCCAGACAGAAUAGACUUGCUUUGGAUAUGCUUCUUGCCAAAAGGGGGCGUCUGCAAGAUGUUCGGUGAACAAUGUUGCACGUAACACCAGUCCAGAUGGUAGUAUAUCUAAGGCCCUUAGUGGGCUUGAUGCACUUGAUGCAUUAUCUGCUGAGAUGAGGACCAUGGCGGGGGUGGAGGAGUCUGGCCUGUUCUCUUGGGUGGGAGCCUGUUUUGAAGUCUGUUACAGAUGUGGUGAAGGCUUCAGGCAUGAUGAUGCCUUUGCUUGAUGCUCCAGUUGGAGAUGCUGAUACUGAAGCAUGCUUUCAGGGGAGGAUGAGACUGACUGAGGAUGACCCAUGGUAUGCUGUGGGUGAGGUAGUAGAAUAAAUCUUACACCACCACAGUUCCUUGUUAUACAUUUUUAUGAUAGGUUUUCUUUCCAGUAUGUUUGUUCUCCCUGUUGUGAAGGUUUCGAGUCCCUGGGUGGCAUGAAGCCCAACUGGUGCAGG
ensembl:lncRNA